GAUGAACGCUGGCGGCGUGCCUAAUACAUGCAAGUCGAGCGAACUGAUUAGGAGCUUGCUUCUAUGACGUUAGCGGCGGACGGGUGAGUAACACGUGGGCAACCUGCCUGUAAGACUGGGAUAACUUCGGGAAACCGUAGCUAAUACCGGAUAGGAUCUUCUCCUUCAUGGGAGAUGAUUGAAAGAUGGUUUCGGCUAUCACUUACAGAUGGGCCCGCGGUGCAUUAGCUAGUUGGUGAGGUAACGGCUCACCAAGGCAACGAUGCAUAGCCGACCUGAGAGGGUGAUCGGCCACACUGGGACUGAGACACGGCCCAGACUCCUACGGGAGGCAGCAGUAGGGAAUCUUCCGCAAUGGACGAAAGUCUGACGGAGCAACGCCGCGUGAGUGAUGAAGGCUUUCGGGUCGUAAAACUCUGUUGUUAGGGAAGAAUAAGUACAAGAGUAACUGCUUGUACCUUGACGGUACCUAACCAGAAAGCCACGGCUAACUACGUGCCAGCCGCCGCAGUAA
rnacentral:rRNA from 1 species